GUUGGAGUGAGGCAUCGCACUUCAGAAUACACUCGAUCUCUGAAGCCUGGAAAAAGCGUGUUUCCCCCAGUCAGAACUAUGUUCUUGAAGAAGUGAGGCUGCAUUUCUUCUGGUAAAUUCUGAAUAGAAUCAACAAUGGCUUCAGGAAUUCCCAUCUCUUGAAUACCAAUAUCUGAAGGAUGGAAGAGUAUUUCUGGAACUGCAAAUCUUUCAUUUGUUAGACGAAGUAUUUGUUCACCAGUUUUGUAUUUUCCACUUAGCACCAUCUCUUCCCUUGGCUUACAAAAUCCUUUUUUGAUUGUGCUGAAGUCUGGCAAAACGUAAUCUACCAUUACAGUAUUUUCCUCUCCUUUUAAUUUAGCUAUCUCCAUGUCCUUGUAAAAGUCUUGAGACACAUAACACACAUCUUCUUUUACUUGAUUAAUUACAUGCGUUUCAUCCAUAACGUGUAACUGCCUGUAAGAGAUUAUCUCCUUCAGAUGGUUGGUUAACAGUUUUCCUCCAACGUUAAUCCUGAUAAUUGCUUCCUUCUUCUUUUUACUUCUACAAUAAGGUACAAUAUGCGUAAAAGAAUAUCCGCUAUCCACGAUGAUACAACACAGCUCAGAUGGAUUAUCCCGGAAAUACCUGUGCGCACUAAGAGCUCCAGCAUUUACUCUAAGAACUGCUUGAAACUGAUAUUCUUCAAAUAGGAUUUCAUUCAUUGAUUCUUGUAUUGAACUGAAGUUAAAAUAAGGUUCAGUGAUAAUAAUAUUGGUAUCUACAAAAUCCACUUGAUACAUUUCUUUUCCAAAGAGAUAAUCCCAAACCUGUCUCUGAACAUCCCAGUUUACCAAAUAACCUUUCUGAAAAGGGAGAAUGUAGAAGAGGCCGGAGGGGUCUUUGAUUUCAUCUAGUUGAUUUGCUGUGAAGGUUUUCAGGCGUGCAGUCUUGGAUCGGAACUGGCAGUUGGGAAUGACGCUGACGUGCGCGUGGCUGUAGCCGAUCUUGGCGUUGUAGGCGCCGUUAUCCAGCACCAGCGUCGCCAUGCUCCCCACGGCGCCACGGCCGCCGCCGUCCCAGUAUUGAUCCGCCACCGCCGUGGAUCGCUAUGGUUACCAUAGAGCGGAGGUGCAGCGCGCGCGCGCGUUGCUUGACGGGACGCAGGAGUGCCGCGGGGACCGCCUUCGCCGCCGGACGUUCGCCGCUCACGUGAUGCCGGCGACGCUCGAGGAGCCGCCGAGCCCGGCGAUUGGUCAGACGCCACCCGGAAGCGCUCGCUACGGGAGGUGACGCGCGUCAGCCCGCCCAACCGUCCCCGGCAGCUCCAGUGCGCCUGCGUCAGCGUCACUCCCAACCCCGCCUUCUCCCGCUCUGCGGCUCGCCACAGCGGCCCCCGGCGGCAGCAGUGGGCAGGGCGCUUUGCUACAUACGAGCUCCUGGUCUAACAGUUGGUCGUGCCAUCAGUUAAUGGCCUGUAUUAGAUUCAGGGUUAGGUUUUUUUGUUGUUGGAAAAAUCAUUGAUCAGGGCUCAGAUCAACAGACCCAUGGAAAUUCACACAUAGAGCUGCCCAUGCAGCCACCCCUUCUUUCCUUCUCAGGUGACGUUUAUUUCCCCCUGCACAGGGCUCAAUGCAGGUGCAUCAAGAGCAAAGAGCAAGAUGAAGGACUCUUUCAUAGCUGUGUCUUAAAGGGCAAAGUAGCUGGGAAGAGUAAGCCUCUCUUUGCUGCUUAUAUUGAGGCCACAGCUGAUGACACUCUCAUAAGUGGCAUUCUUCACAUGUGGUUGCCUUCCUCUAUUGAAUAAAGGAAUCAUUCUUUGGGUGUUGUAUCAAGCAUCAGUACCACAUAGCAGUACUCCAAAAUGCAGGAGCCUUCUGGCACUCAUCUGCUUGAAAACGUGGGAUUAUGAUGUGGAAAAAAAAAAAAAAAUCAGUCCAAAGUCUAAUAAACACAGUGUGGGAAGAUUCUGCUACUAACUUCUGUCAGGUUCUAAAACACCAGGUAUUCUGCUCUAAGCAAGAUAAGCGGGGCUUCUUAUCACACACCCUUGGGGGUGAAGGGCUGAUUUGUGCCUUUUCUUCCAAGGAGUGUGUUCCAAAAUGCAAGGGAGAAGGUGAGUUCAUGACUCAGAUUAACCAUGCUGGGUAGGAGUAUUUCAGCUUUCUCAUUCUGAUCAUCUUGCCCUCUGCCAGACCUAGGUGGGCAGAACAUUUGAAAGGGAGCACACACAAGGAUCUUGCUUUCCUUCCCCCCCCCCCCAUAAUUCUUUUCUUCCUUGGUGGGAAACUGUCACGUUCUCAAAGUUCUCCAAGAUUUCUGAGACAAUGGUGAAUUUUUUCUAGUUGAGAAAUGUGAACUAAAACAUGAAAAAAAGUGUUGCUUCAUUCCCACUUAAUAAGUCUCUCAAAGUAAUAUAACAAGGUCACCGUUAUACAAGUGACUGAUUUUUAAAUGCCUGGGGAAAAAAAAAUCAAUUGGAAGUAUUCAUCUCCUGACCUCUUUCUUCAUUUGUUACUGCUUCAUAUCUGAUGUGAAGGUCCUUGGAUUUUUUGGUUCGUUGCGCAUAAAUAAUUUACAUGUGCACAAGAAGCAAAGAAAUUAGUGUCUGAUGUAUUUUCUCUGCAGCUCUAGACUACAUUCUAGAGCCAGUCAGCCAUCUUUCUUAAAGAGAUCACAUCUGAUAAACCUGGCAGUUUUGCCAUUCUUCUUGCUAUUUCUGACUAAUACUUACUAUUAGAGCUCCUGGUUGGCCACCAAUGAAAUUUCUUCAAGAUAUCUUUCCUGAAUGAAGUAGCUCCAGAGAAGAGGCUUGCCGAAUGAACAAAGCUAUUACAGAUCAUUUAAUUAACUGUCUUGGAAAUUUUACCACAGCAUGAGAACUUAUUCUCUUGAGGCAAUCAUAACCUGUAGGCUUCAUAACAACUAUGGAAAUCACCUGGAGAACAUGAUUUUAGAAGUCUGAGAGUUUGAGUAACUGCCAAGACAUUCUGCUUAAUGGAAAUGCUAGACUGGAGCCAGUAACAUGCUCUCACAGCCCAGAAAGCCAACCACAACCUGGGCUGCACUGGGGCCAUGGCCAGCAGGGAGAGGGAGGUGAUCCUGCCCCUCAGCGCUGGUGAAGCCUCACCUGGAGUACUGCAUCCAGAUACAGAGUCUUCAGGAUAGGAGAAACAUGGACCUGUUGGAGCAUGUCUGGAGAAGGGCCACAGACACGAUCCAAGGGACGGAACACCUCUGUGAGAAUAGGCUGAUAGAACUGAGGCCAGAAGCUGAGCCUAUGCAGUUCUUCAUCUUGCUAGCAAGGCUAAGUUUACUGCUGGUGGGAUUGUUAGUUUGCUUGGUGCAUAAUUUUGAAAUGAUCUAGGGGAUCCUGGAGAGAAACAAAUUGCUUCUUGUGGCUAGAAAUGAGCAUUACUUUGAAAGAGAGCUGUAACACAAUGGAAAGCAUAACAAGGACAUCAAAACAGAAAGAUCCCAGGCUGCAGCAAACAAGGAUUCACUCAAACACAACAACCAAAAGAAGCAAGGAGAAAUAAGCUACUUAUCUCUAGAAAGCCUCAAAUAUGGAGGGACCUCCAGAAAGAUGCCUUUGCCUCCGCUGCCAACCCUUAAAUGAGGUCGGGGGAGGGGUGGAGCCAGGACCCACCCCUUCUGGUCACUCAGGUGCACUGCAUGCACCUGAGCACCCCUGGAUUGGCUCUGCCUUCCUGCCAGGUGCUCAGUCACUGCUUCAAGCUGUGACUUAGCAUUUCUGCUACAUGAGGUAUAAAUAGAUGUCUUACUGGGCUCAUCAAAGUGACUGUACUGCAAAAGAAAGGGAAUACUGGAGUUUAUCUGGAAAAUUUAAAGCAACUUCAAACACUGUUUCUGUGAGUGAGAUUUCAGACCACUUGCAGCUCUGGUGCUUGGGAAGCACGUGAAGUGCUCAUUGACAGCAGAUAUUAAUGCAUGCCUGCAAAUUAGCAUUUUAUGUAGAUGAAUCUUUACUACAUAUCAAAGCAUUUAUUAUUGCUAUUGCACGUUACAUCUUUUAGCUGUGCUUUGUAACAGCUUUUCAAAGAAACUCAAC
rnacentral:lncRNA from 1 species